GCCCGCGUGGCCUAAUGGCGCCUAAAGACGUCUGCCUCCUUAGUAGAAGAUUGCGAGUUCGAGUCCCGUCGUGGGUG
rnacentral:tRNA from 1 species